GUCAUUAUCGCCGUCCGGUUUGUCAGCACCGCCGAGGGGAAACACUUGAAUAACUUUUCCUGCUAAUGUAGCAUAUAGUGAAUCUCAAUACUGUUUGACAGGGGCUUUCGAGUAACUUUUGUUCGCUUUCAGAGAAUUUGUUUGUUCGCCGAAGAUCUCUGAGAAGACAAGUUGUAGAAUUUUUAAAGCCUAAAUUGUAGCUGGGAUCCAAGAGUGCGCGGACGUCGGAGAACACUGACCAGAGAUGGAUCUAGUGAAGGUGUGUAUGGCCGUGGUGCUGCCUCUGAUGGUGUACUGUGUGUGUGAACCCGGGCUUCAGGCCUGUGAGUGGGAGUCUUGGGGUGUGUGGAGCUCCUGUACCAGAACAUGUGCUGGGCUGAGAACCAGAACACGGAAGAUGUGCUGUGGAGUUCAUGUUCCAGACUGUAUCGGUAAAUGUCGCCGACCCAACACGUCUGUGGAGACAGAGCCAUGUGCGACACACUGCCCCAAUGGUGGAAGUUACAUUGAUGGCUACUGUCACUGUCCUCCUCUCAGAUAUGGAAUUUGUUGUGAACGAGACGAGACGGCUGCGCGUGGUGGCUGUGCCCGACACUGCACGUGGCUCAACUGGUUGUCAUGGGG